UACGUAGGGUGCAAGCGUUGUCCGGAAUUAUUGGGCGUAAAGAGCUCGUAGGCGGCUUGUCGCGUCGGCUGUGAAAACCUGGGGCUCAACCCCGGGCCUGCAGCCGAUACGGGCAAGCUAGAAUUCGGUAGGGGAGACUGGAAUUCCUGGUGUAGCGGUGAAAUGCGCAGAUAUCAGGAGGAACACCGGUGGCGAAGGCGGGUCUCUGGGCCGAUAUUGACGCUGAGGAGCGAAAGCAUGGGGGAGCGAACAGG
rnacentral:rRNA from 1 species